rnacentral:sRNA from 1 species
GCCCAGCGUGGUGGCGCACGCCUGUCCUCCCAGCGGCUCAGGAGGCUGAGGCAGGAGGAUUGCAAGUUCAAGGCCAGCCUCCACAACUUAUCGAGGCCCUAAGCAACUUAGCAAGAUCCUGUCUCUA